UGGCGGCGCGCCUAACACAUGCAAGUCGAACGAGCGAGAGAGAGCUUGCUUUCUCGAGCGAGUGGCGAACGGGUGAGUAACGCGUGAGGAACCUGCCUCAAAGAGGGGGACAACAGUUGGAAACGACUGCUAAUACCGCAUAAGCCCACAGCUCGGCAUCGAGCAGAGGGAAAAGGAGCAAUCCGCUUUGAGAUGGCCUCGCGUCCGAUUAGCUAGUUGGUGAGGUAACGGCCCACCAAGGCGACGAUCGGUAGCCGGACUGAGAGGUUGAACGGCCACAUUGGGACUGAGACACGGCCCAGACUCCUACGGGAGGCAGCAGUGGGGAAUAUUGCACAAUGGGGGAAACCCUGAUGCAGCGACGCCGCGUGGAGGAAGAAGGUCUUCGGAUUGUAAACUCCUGUUGUUGGGGAAGAUAAUGACGGUACCCAACAAGGAAGUGACGGCUAACUACGUGCCAGCAGCCGCGGUAAAACGUAGGUCACAAGCGUUGUCCGGAAUUACUGGGUGUAAAGGGAGCGCAGGCGGGAAGACAAGUUGGAAGUGAAAUCUAUGGGCUCAACCCAUAAACUGCUUUCAAAACUGUUUUUCUUGAGUAGUGCAGAGGUAGGCGGAAUUCCCGGUGUAGCGGUGGAAUGCGUAGAUAUCGGGAGGAACACCAGUGGCGAAGGCGGCCUACUGGGCACCAACUGACGCUGAGGCUCGAAAGUGUGGGUAGCAAACAGGAUUAGAUACCCUGGUAGUCCACACCGUAAACGAUGAUUACUAGGUGUUGGAGGAUUGACCCCUUCAGUGCCGCAGUUAACACAAGAAGUAAUCCACCUGGGGAGUACGACCGCAAGGUUGAAACUCAAAGGAAUUGACGGGGGCCCGCACAAGCAGUGGAGUAUGUGGUUUAAUUCGACGCAACGCGAAGAACCUUACCAAGUCUUGACAUCCCUUGACAGACAUAGAAAUAUGUAAUCUCUUCGGAGCAAGGAGACAGGUGGUGCAUGGUUGUCGUCAGCUCGUGUCGUGAGAUGUUGGGUUAAGUCCCGCAACGAGCGCAACCCUUAUGGUCAGUUACUACGCAAGAGGACUCUGGCCAGACUGCCGUUGACAAAACGGAGGAAGGUGGGGAUGACGUCAAAUCAUCAUGCCCUUUAUGACUUGGGCUACACACGUACUACAAUGGCGUUAAACAAAGAGAAGCAAGACCGCGAGGUGGAGCAAAACUCAGAAACAACGUCCCAGUUCGGACUGCAGGCUGCAACUCGCCUGCACGAAGUCGGAAUUGCUAGUAAUCGUGGAUCAGCAUGCCACGGUGAAUACGUUCCCGGGCCUUGCACA
rnacentral:rRNA from 1 species